ACAAGAUGAUUAGGGUUGGUAGUCACCGGGGACGUCGACUAUCAGCAGGGGAGAGUGUAACCAGGUCAAAAGUUACAAAAGUUAUCACUGGACUGAUUAGUAAAAGCUUGAUGUUAAGGGACUCAGCAUGUAUCACACUGUAGCAUGUUCCAUCCAAUACGCUAGCCCUUUAAGAAAUGUGAAUGUGUGACGUUCUGGAAGUGUCGCGAGAUUCGCCUGUAAACAGCGCGUUUUCAUAACGUGUUUUGAAUGCUGCUCAUGCGGUGGAGCGUCGAAGCCAUAAAACUCCGUGUUAUUAUCAAUAUAAUGAGAGAGAUGCACAUAUAGUGACUGGAAAGCCUUCUUUAAUAUUUUGUUCAUGCGGAUGGCUGUGUAUUGUGCUGAGUGACCGUGAUUUCUGUCGAGACACGUACCCAUGUGACGAAAUCAGAUCGACAAUAGAUCUCGAAGCAGGGGAGAAGAGAGCUCUGUAGGCCUUCUGUUUCCUCAGGCCGAGUGUGAAGCAACAGAAGGGGAAAUUGAGUUCAUCAUUGGCUGUGAAAGCGUGUACAAUGCUAUGGUGAUGCUAUGAUGAUGAACAUAUAAGAGUCCACUAUCGUUGUCUAUGUUGGUUAUAUUCAUGUAAUUGACCUGUUAAUGUGGUGACUGAGAACAAAGAGACAAGAGAGUUUGAUGUAAAGAAAAAAUAACAUCUUUAUUGAUUUCAACCACUGUAACAAGCCUUACUGUGUAACACCUUUAAGAUUUGCAUAAUUAACGCUGCACUGUUAAGUGCAGUCUGGAAUAAACGAUCCCCUUAAAAAAAAUUA